UUGAGAGUGCUAACAACUUUGCACAGUUCUUUAAAUCAAAGGUCGACAACAUAUACAAAAACAUUUAUUUAGAACAACAAUCCCAAGAUUCUCCUAACUCAGAUGAAUUUGUUCCUCUUUCUAAUAGCCCAAAGAUAGUACAAUUCCGUCAUGUGUCUGAUGAAGAACUAGUAAGCAUCAUAAAGAAUAUGUCUAACAAAUUCUGUGAUCUUGACCCCAUACCUACAAAGAUUCUCAUCAAGUGUCUCCCAGAACUCCUUCCUCUGAUCUCAUUUAUAGUCAAUGAAUCAUUAGUUAAAGGUGAGUUUCCUAUAAAACUUAAGGAGGCUCUCAUUCGUCCAAGUUUGAAGAAACGUGGCCUUGACGGUGAAUCUCUAUCUAACUAUAGGCCUAUUAGCAAUCUCUCAUUCUUGUCAAAAAUCAUUGAGAAGUGUGUAUCUAUACAGCUCACCAGUUAUCUUGAGGAUAACAACUUGCUUUCUAAAGUUCAGUCCGGCUAUAGGAAGUUUCAUAGCUGUGAAACUGCAACAACCAGAAUCCAUAACGACAUCUUGAUAACUAUUGACAAGAAAACUAAAGUUGUUCUUUUACUUCUAGAUUUGAGUGCUGCCUUUGAUACUGUCAAUCACCCAAGAUUAAUCAAGAAGCUAAGAUCUGCUUAUGGCAUUACAGGCAUUGCUCUUACAUGGAUCAGGUCCUACUUGGCUAACCGUUCAUUUUGUGUCAAAGUCAAGGAUUCGUCUUCCUCAGCAACUGUUCUUGAGAUAGGUGUGCCACAAGGUUCAAUCCUUGGCCCCCUGCUAUUCAUAUUGUACACCAAAGA